rnacentral:RNase_P_RNA from 1 species
AGGCGAUUGCAAGUCCUAUGACUUGAGGAAAGUCCGAGCUCCAUAGGGCAGGAUGCCGGCUAACGGCCGGCGUGGGUGACUCAUAGGGAAUAGUGCCACAGAAAAGUAAACCGCCACCUUCGGGUGGUAAGGGUGGAACGGUCGCGGUAAGAGCGCACCGUGCACAUGGUAACAUGUAUGCUCGGUAAACCCCAUCCGGAGCAAGGCCGAAUAGGAAAGGGUUAAGGGUUGCCCGCCUACCUUUCGGGUUGUGCCGCUUGAGCGUAUAGGCAACUAUGCGCCCUAGAAAGAUAAUCGCCACUGCGAAAGCGGGGACAGAACUCGGCUUAUUGAUUG